GCACCCAGCCAGAAUAGCAUGAUCCAGAAGCCCCUCUUCCACAAGGAUUGGCAGCAGUGAACGGGCACUCAGUUCAACCAACUGGCACACCAGAUCCACAAACGCAAGGCCGGGAAUCCAAAGUGUGCCACAAUGCCCCCUCACCCAGUGUCAGGUCCCAUCAGGCCCAUAGUGAGGUGCCCUAUGAUGAGAUACCACACCAAGGUCCAAGAUGGCAGGGACUCCAGCCUGGAAGAACUCAGGGUGACUGGUAUCCACGAGAAAGUGGGAUGCAGCAUCGUGGCACCUUCGUGGACCCAAGGAGAAGCAGGCCAGCAUGCAGAGCAGCACCUCUCCAAGCUCAUGCUUUCCCCCAGGAAACCCUCUGCUCCAAAGGGAGCUAGUUCCGCUGAAGAACUUAUAUUACCCACCGGCUUACAGGACCUGGGAUGCCCAUCUGGAAUGUCUACAAAAAGGGAAAAGCCAGAGCCGCCCCAGAAGAAGAGGAGUGGGAGACUUUGACCAGUCUUAGGGUCCGGGCCAGUGCCCGGCUCCUUGCCACCCAAAUACAAAGGGCAAAGAAAGCUGGAGAACAAGAUGCCAAAAAGUAG
rnacentral:lncRNA from 1 species